rnacentral:lncRNA from 1 species
GAUGGCGGAGUGAGGCGUGCCCCGGGCAGCUGGCCUGCGGGCCCGGGGCAGGCCUCCCGUGAGAAGCGGAGUACUUGUGCUGGACCGUGUGAGCUAAAUUCUCGGAAAGUCUUUGCUUCUGAAUUCUGGAUCGGGGAGACAUUUGCUGCGUGUGUUGGUGCUCAGGGCCAGAAAUUUACAUCUAUCAAAACCUUGUUUCAGAAAUAAACUGGCAUAUUAGUGAGAGCCAGUUCAAAUGGAAAAAUCAUAAUGAACCAUAUCACACAAGAUGAAUAUUUUCCUGACCUUAGGUGCUUUUAUAUUCAGCUCAACAUUCUGAACUCAGGACUUGGCACGUAAGUAGAUAGAGAUAAUCAUCCCAAGUCCUGUUGUAGCGGCUUGAAAGGCUCCAUAGAAGCGACAUACUAAACUGUUAAGAGCAACAGAAGAUGAAGAUAAAAAUGAGUACAAGCCAGCUACCAUGGCUCACCUUUAUGCCCAGCUCUUGGGACCUGGGGAACUGAGGAAUUCCUAUGUGGACUGCUCAGUGAGGCGUCCUGGUUCUUCCAUCCUGUUACUUUCCCCAGUGAGAUGCAGAUGUCUUUCGACAGAUUACCUCCAUGGUUUAGGAUGCAGAGACUGCCUUUCUUUUACGUCAGACUCAACACAGGAAAGCCGUGAGGAUGCAGCCGUCCUGUUGACUUCAGCAAGAAAACAAACCAUGGACUUGGGUCUUCUGCAGCUUUUGAAUUGGAAAGACGGUGUUUGCAAGUAGAAGGAAGAUGCUGAAUUUGAAACAAGUGCUUAGGUUCUGUGGCGUGAGUUGUUUUCUUUUUAAAAGAUCCAAACAAGAAGACUGAACAAAUACCAAGUGUGGGUGACUUCAGGUUUUUUUUUUAAUGUCUUCCAAUUUUAACACUAUUAUAAGCACAGUUGACCGCAGGAGCUGCUCAUUAAUACAAACCAGGAAAGAAACCAUUCUGCCCAAGUACCCUCACCACCCUCCAGCUCUCAGCAGGAACUGGCCUGAGUGUCAUAAACAGGCGCCACCAUCAGUGUGAAGUUCAGUGCUGACUGAGGACCCGGCAAGGCCCUGCAGCAAGGUGGUUUUGUAGGAUACAGAAGUUCAGACUCAGGCUGUGCUGUGGCUCUGUUUACAACUGCAGAGCUGGAGUUGUUCUUCAGAUGAGUCGGUCAAAAUGUGUCACUUGCCUGAAACUUGAUUCCUGAGGAACAGGAGAAAACUUUCUUCUUCCAAAAAAUAUAUUUAUUUGGAUAAAUGAAUAUUGGUUUGUUAUAAUAGUGAAAGGAACAGAAGUGUAAUCUACUGGCAGAACAUUUACCUGAGAAAAUGGGUUUAAUUGCAGCACUACCAAAAAAAACCUCAUGGUGGUAACAUAAGAAUUUCUUGACUUUGAAAUGCAAGUUACAAAAUGAUUUUGACAAAUGAGAAGUAUUUAUAAUGUCUGAAAGGCCUAAAUAGAUUUCAAAUAAAACUGUUUCACUGGAUUCAGUCCAAUUUACCUGUUAUAUGAUGGAAAACUAGUUCCAAAUUUAACUUUCACCGUGGUCCUUUGCUAUGGAUGUCAACUGGAAUGGUGACUCCUAACCUUCAGAACUGAACUAAAGUUGUCAGUGUGAUGGUUGCUUUCCACUGAAACACAGGAAUCAAAGUAUGUGUUGUAUCCCAAAUAGAAGUGUUCUUUGCCACUUACUAAUAAAGAUGUAAGGUCAGA